rnacentral:rRNA from 1 species
UACGAAGGGGACUAGCGUUGUUCGGAAUCACUGGGCGUAAAGCGCACGUAGGCGGAUUUGUAAGUCAGGGGUGAAAUCCCGGGGCUCAACCUCGGAACUGCCUUUGAUACUGCGAAUCUCGAGUCCGAUAGAGGUGGGUGGAAUUCCUAGUGUAGAGGUGAAAUUCGUAGAUAUUAGGAAGAACACCGGUGGCGAAGGCGGCCCACUGGAUCGGUACUGACGCUGAGGUGCGAAAGCGUGGGGAACAAACGGG